AUGACCAGCAGCACGAGCCAUCAGAAUCCAGUGUGCCAGGAGCAGAACUGGUGGUUUAAGAUUAAGCUCAGAUCUGUCUGCACAGCCAGCUGUUACGUUAAGAGAAAUGUCCUAACCCUGCCAAGGAGCCAGGUGCUGAGGCUGCAAGGUGUUGAGACUUCCACUAGAGGGGAAGGUGACCUCACUGGCUCAGUCUCCCCUCAUUCCUUCCGACUUGCUGAUUAUUGUAAGGUCCUGUAUGACUGUGUGAAUUAUGGAGGAAGCCAAAGAAACCUCAUCUUUGGAAAAGGCACUAAACUCUCUGUUAAACCAAAUAUCCAAGGCUCUGACCCUGCUGUGUACCAGCUGAGAGGCUCUAAGUCCAGCAACAUUUCUGUCUGCCUGUUCACCGAUUUUAAUUCUAGCCUCAGUGUGACAAAAACCUCAGAGCCCUCAGUGUUCUUCACAGACAAAACUGCAGUGGACAUGAAGGCCAUAGGGUCCAGGAGCAAUGGGGCCCUGGCCUGGAGUAACAACAAGAAUUUUGCAUGUAAUGAAACCUUCUACCAAGGCAGCUUCUACUCUAGCUCAGGAAUUGUCUGUGAUGCCACGUUGAUGGAGAAAAGCUUUGAAACAGAUAUGAACCUAAACUUUCAAAACCUGUCUGUGAUCGGGCUCCGCAUACUUCUCCUGAAAGUGGUUGCAUUUAACCUGCUCAUGACUCUGCAGCUAUGGUCCAGCUGAGGUCACCAAGACUGUAGGAAAUCCCAUGCUCCCUCGCUGCUUCUCCUUGUCGUCCAUCCUCUCCCUCUUCAAGCAGAGAAGCGAACUCUCUGCCCUCCAUGGAAGAGAAGGCUCCCACUGACUCUCUGGCCUCACCUGGCAAUGCCACCAACUGGAUCCUACCCAGCACUGG